AUUUAAUUGUUCGUAAUCAUGAGUACUUUACAAGAUGUCUUUCUUCUUGAUCAAAUUGAGAUAUAAAGCCAUAUUAUAAAUCCAUGUUACUCAAAUUAAUCCACUCAGAGAGAUGGGAAAGAUUGCAGAGCUGAGUUUCACUCUCACCUGACUGAUGCAGAAUCAGUAACCUAAUUGUGUGUACUUUUUUAAAUUAUAUAUUGUUUUUAUUAAAAAUUCAAUGUGGACCUUUAUGAGGAAUAUGUUGAAAAGGAAAACAAAUAUAAUAAAAGUAGUCUGUUAUACAAUAAUUUGACAAAAAUGUAUGUCACUUUUAUUAUGAUCAUAUCUGGUAACAUGAAUAAUUCCCUUAAUCAAUUGUGUUAAAACCUUUUUACAUUGUAUGUUUACAUUUAUAUAUGUAUGUUGCCAUAUACACUGAAUCCACCCCUCUAAAUUCGGCAAUAUUGAGGCUCAUGAUGGUUUCCGAGAAAAAAAAAGGCAAAAGAGUUCCAACAUUGAGCCUUACAAAAUCAACUUGGUGUAAUUUGACAAUAUUCUUUAGAAUUUGACGGUGAUUGUAUCAUGCAGCAGUCAUACUAUGAAGUGUCACACAGACUAUCUUUUUUAAUUCUGCAAUAUUGUAGUACAGUUAAGCGCAAAGUGGAUUAAUAUUCUGGCAAUUAGAAGUAACUGUACUUCCAAAUACAGCCUAAACAGUUCCUGCAUUUUUUGAGUGAUUAUAGAGUGAAAAUGUUUUCCUAUUAAAUGUUGUUUUUUAUGUGUAAAAUUUAACAUGUUAUGAAUGGUUACAAAUACAUGUAUACGCUUUUUGAUUCCAAAUAUAUGCACUUUUUGAUUCCAAUAAUUAAACACUUAAGUAUUUUAUAUUCGGUAUGAAACAAAAAUGUUGAUCUGUUGUUUGUUUCUUAGCAAUUAGUAGGAUGUAUUCGUGUUUAUAGUUACCAUGUCAAUUUAGAAUAUGAGUCAAAUGUUUUAAACAGUUACAAUGAUAUCCAGAGUCUAGUGUUGUAGGGAAAUUAUCAUUGUUGUCUCAAUAUCUUAGUAUUUUCAAUGUGAUAUUUUUUAGCAUGUCGGCUUCAGACAAUAAAAUGUUUCUGUAAAGUUUUAUUCAUUUGGUCAUACUGUGUAUACAAUUAUAUUUAUGAUUCAACCUUAAAAUUUGCUGAUAAUGUCAUACUUAUAUUAAAGUGUUUAGAAUUGCUUGAUGGUGAGAAGUUCACCUUUUUAACAAUUGUCAGGCAAAUCAAUGCAAGAUAUACUUACAGAAUUCUCCUUUUUAACAAAAAUGUUACUUAGCAUUUUUUUUUCAAAUUUCUAUUGAAUUAUAUUAAUAGCAACUAAAUUUUUGUUUGCCUUUAUUCUUCAUAUUUAUAAUACUUUUCAUUGUAAAAAUGCAAAAGUGCAUCAGUGAAUGUAAGAAAAGUAGUGUUCUGUAACUGUUACCUUAUAAAAUAUCCUAAAAAUAAACAUUUUGCCAUCAAUUUUUUUAUCGUGAAAUAUUCUGCUUAAAACAUAGUUUUAGCUCUGAUAUUUAGAAAUGUGUAUUCAAUUUUUAGAAAAUAAACAAAAUGUGUUGUUUUACAUUAUUUAUUUCAUUUAUAUUAAGAUGCUUUUAAAUUUUACC